ACCUGGAUCUUCUCUCUUGAACCUGGCUCUCCAGCCCCCACAAGGUGGGGUACAGGUAUAUAUCUUCUACCAUCCUGGACUGCACUUUGAAGGCGGCAGAGCAGAUUGCAAGAUGAAAGCUUUGCUACUUGCUUUGUUGUGGGUCGAAUUCCUGUUCAGGGAUCCAGGAAAGAGUCUGGAUUGGUACAGA